CCUGCCAGUAGUCAUAUGCUUGUCUCAAAGAUUAAGCCAUGCAAGUCUGAGUAUAAUUGUUUUACGGUGAAACUGCGAAUGGCUCAUUAAAUCAGUUAUAGUUUAUUUGAUGCUAUAGGUCGAAAGGCCACUACAUGGAUAUCUGUAGUAACAUAGAGCUAAUACAUGCAAUAUAGUCUGACUUUUUGGAAGGACUAGCACUUAUUAGAUAUUAAACCAAUCCCAGCAAUGGGUUUCUUGGUGAUUCAUAGUAACUGAACAAAUCACAUAGUCUUGUACUGGUGAUGUUUCAUUCAAAUUUCUGCCCUAUCAACUAGAUGGUAGUAUAUAGGACUACCAUGGUUGUAACGGGUAACGGAGGAUUAGGGUUUGAUUCCGGAGAAGGAGCAUGAGAAACGGCUACUAUUUCUAAGGAAAGCAGCUAGGC
rnacentral:rRNA from 1 species